AAAGAAAAAAGAAAAUAGAAAUAAAAAGAGGACAGAAAAAUAUGAAAAAAAGAAAAAAAGAAAAGAAAAAAACAGUAGAUGAAAAAAGAAAAAACAAAGGAAAAACGAAUAAUGACAAGAGAAGAAAGGUAAAGAGAAAAGAAGAAAAAAGCCAAGUCAAAAAGUAAAGAAUAACUCGAAGGAAGGAGUGGAUGGCAAGAAAUACAGAGAAAGCAGUGCAUAGCACAGCAGAGCAAAGCAAGGCAAAAUAGCAGCCAAAGCCACGAGAAUCAAGAAGUCAGUGAAGAGCAGGAAAGGAGUGGAUGGCAAGAAAUACAGAGAAAGCAGUGCAUAGCACAGCAGAGCAAAGCAAGGCAAAAUAGCAGCCAAAGCCACGAGAAUCAAGAAGUCAGUGAAGAGCAGGAAAGGAAUGGAGGAAUCUGUCCAGAGCUGUGCCCCUGCUUGCCACAGGAGCUGCGCGGGAGGAGAAGAACGUGGGCCAAAAGGUAAGAGGAGCUCCUUUGGGUUCUGGGCUUGAAGCAAAGCUGAGAAGCCAUGCCCGGGAGGAGGUGUGGGUAGCUACAGGCCACCUUGCUAUCUCCCCAAGAGAUGAGGUGUGUGGGCUAGGCACCGGGCAGGAGUGCUGGCCAGAAGCAAGCAUCUCUGUGGAGGAAGGCAAAGGGCGGAGGAGGUUCAAGGGUAGCUACCGGGCAUGGCCUUGCUCAGCAAGGGGAGGAAAAGCCUGAAGGGCACGAGAAGGGGAUAGAGAAGGGCAGGCAGUAGGCGUGAAGCUGCGAGCAGAGUAGAGAGCAACUUGGCAGAGCAGCAAGCAGAGUAGGCAAGUGUUGAGGUUUGGCGUGAGUAGCAGCAAAAGCCCAGAGCAUCAAGAAGCAGGAAGUGAGGAGAAGGUAAGUGAAGGGCAGGCAAGGUAAUGGGAGGCAAAGGCAAGG
ensembl:lncRNA